CAAUAUUACCCAUGGGUCAAAAAAGAAGUAUCAAAUGACAUUUUAAAAUACAUAGAGCUGAAUGAAAAUUUUAAAGUCACAUAUUAAAAUAUGGAGGAUGCAUUCAAUGCAGUGCUAGGAGGAAAAUUUAUAGCACUAAAUGCUUGUAUUAGAAAUGAGGAAAAAAAAACCAGGAAUUGAGGCUCUGGAAGUCUGAGUGCUAGUCACCACCUCCUACCAGGUGAUCCUGGGAAAGCCCUUCCCUCCAUCCAAUCUCUACCAUCAGAAAACACCAAGGAACUGAACUGGAUGAUCCCAAG
rnacentral:lncRNA from 1 species